CUGCUUGGUCUUCUUGAAACUCCACGGUGAAUGAUAUCGACAGAAUAAAGACCUUAUUCAGGGCAUCACCGAAGUUUGAGACGUCUGAGUUACCUUCUCUUUCAGGAUGUAGAGUGCCACUGGGUUUCUGCGCUCAUGAUUGGUCUUUUUCGGAAUGACCUCAUCUGCAGACUGUGAGUUUGAUUGGCAUGCUCUUCAUGCUGCCCAGAGGAUUCUCGACAAGGCAACUGUAGAUGUCAUCAUCGGCCAUCAGCACCCGGGUGAUGGUCAGGACCUUCUGGUCAGGUGACAGCACAAGGCGUGUCUCAUUGAACAGUGGAGGACUCCACGUGCACGUAGGGCCUGGAGAUCGGCUCUGCCAUCAAACAAACAGAGUGCAGUUUCAGCUCAUUUCACAUCCAAUAGCCCUGUCCUCUAACAGUCUAUUGUCAAACACCUUUAAUG